rnacentral:lncRNA from 1 species
UGUCAGUAAAGGUGGGGUCUUUUCAGAGUCAGGACAUGAGAGAGACAGAGAGGAACAGACAGAGGGAGAGAGCAACAGAGAUGAGGGAGGUGGGAGGAAUGAAAGACUUGGAGAUAGAGAGAGGGCCCUGAGGGCAGGGGGUCAGCGGUGGGAGGUGGCUUUUAAAGGGUGCAUAUGUUGUGUAGGGAAAAUACAGAACUUAGUGACAUUAGAAAUGUGUUCCAUUUGGCGCAGUGGGUGAUGUCAUGGCUGCUAGCGCUGAGUCCCUAAGGGCAGUGCACCAGAAGAAGAAAACAGAUUCUCUCUCUGAGCAGCCACUGGUUGCCUGUAGUUUCUCAUCCAGGGGCUUAUGUAGGCAAACAUACUGAUGAAGUUUCCUGGAUGCAGCUUCCCGGUUCUGUCAAGAAGAUUCUAUCUUAAGGAGGGCAUCCCGCCCCUCUUCUGGCUCCUAGGAUCUUCACAGCCUCUUACUUUUGAAGGAAUGCGGGCCUCCCAGGCCACAGGCAAAUAGUUUUUCGCUUUGGGUGCUGUUCUGCAGCCCUGUGGAGGAUCACAUUUGCAUAGAUGGCUUCCAGGCUCCCUUUCUGCUCCCACACUUUGCCUGGAACCCGCUGUGUUUCCUGCUGAAUGCUUUUGAAGGUUUCUGUUCUGUUGCAAAUGGAGACAUUGCUUCCUGUGGCUGUGGCUAUCACAUGCAAAUAAACCAGAGAUUGCUGGAAGGUGCUGGACCUGUGGAAGGCAGGGUCUAGUUGGAGGAAGUGGGUAACUGGAGGUGUGACUUUGAAGCGUUUGCCUUAGCGCCGGCCUCCUUCCCAUUACUUCUCUCUGCUUCCUGGAUGCAGGACACAAGCAACUUUGAUCUCACUACCGGCUCUGCCACCAACGUGUUCUACCUCGGUUUAGGAAGAAAAAAAAAAAAAGAGGCAACUCACCAUGAACAUAAAUCUUGGACUCUGUGACUUCAGAUUGCUUGACUUUAUAAUCUUUGCAUGUGUGUUCCCCAGUUCUAAAUACAAAACUAGAUCUUUUGGAUCAGGGAUGGUCAAUUUGGAACGACAUCGAGGACAGUGACCCUCUGGCUGGGUCUACCUGAGGUAUCCUGGUGUUUUUCCUGUUAUGAGGUAUGUAAGGACAAAUUAGCUACCUCUGUUGAGAUGCAAAUUCUAUGGGCCAGGGGUAGAACCCUUAUCAUUUCCCUAACCUCUUACAAGCACCUCUUUCACAUUUGUGCCUUAUUCUUCUGUUCUUCACCCCAGAGUUUAACUGGGACUAUCAGUGAUUCCCCAGGUUUGUAACUAUUCAUUGGAGCAUGGUGAGGUCAUCAGUGGGUAUGAAGCUGAAGAUAAUGUCUGCUCUUCCCCUAGAGUCUAUCAGCUCAUCAUUCAGCAUGUAGGAGGAGGACCACACGGCCCCUCCCUGGUCUAUGAUUGGCUGUUGACAGGCUCAGUCUUGUACAGGCAGCUGCAGGUUCUGAGGUCAUGCUUACAAUCAUGGACCUCACCUUCCUACCCUUGUUCUCUGACCCUGAGAGGUGGUAGUGUUAAUGCCCUGCUUAGGGCUGAGCUCUUGAAUAUGGCUUAUUCUCAGUAUUUUGAACGGCCAUGCCUUUCUGUACACUGUAUCAUUUUGAAGAGAAGUUUCUCUGAUGAAGACAGAAUCGAAGAGCUCAGGCCAUUUUUCUUUGUAUCCCUUCAGUAUAAAAUAGCAAGGAAUAUUCUCUGUUCUAGUUCUUUUAUUAUUUAUUUACUUAUUUAUUUUUGUCAACUUGAUGCAAGUUAGGAUCAUUUGGGAAGAAGGAAUCUCAGUUGAACAAAUAUCUCUAUCCGAUUGCUCUGUAGGCAAGUCUGUGGGGCCAUUUCAUUGAUUUCUGAUAGAUAGGGGAGGAUCUAUCCCACUGUGGGUGGUGCCAUCCCUUAGCAGGUGGCCCUGCAUGCAGGGGGGAUGCUUUACUCAAACAUGAUAGACAUGGACUGUUGACCUGUAAGCCAAAUAGCAAUGGAAACCUAACCAGGACAUCCCCCCUUUAGAAAUUCCUGAGUCCUAACAAACUGCACUCCAGGAUGGAAUGUUUCAACCUAGAGGAAAUUGCUACAAGUCUAUAAGGCAUUGGCUUUGCACGUGAACUUGGAGCCCUAGCAUCUGCAUGCAAUCCUAGCUCUGGGGAGAUGGAGGCAGGAGCAACACUGAGGUUUGCUGGCCAACUAGUGCUGCCCAAUUGGGACCCAAGAAAGUUGUAGAAGUACUGGCGAGUCUUCAGGCUGGUUCCAUCAUUCUGUUCACGUGCGGGGCCAGAGUGUGGUCAUUGCCUAGUGGACCUCAAGGCAGAAGGAGGCAAUGUUGCAGGGUUUAUUGGCACAAGGGUGGUCAGGGCCAAAUGGGCCUUGUGAGAAGAACAUGGCACUAGGGAAGAGGUGACACCCUGUAAGUGAAGGGAGGAGUCCUGAAUCUGGAUGUUGUGAUGAGGAAGGCAAGCUGGGAUGACAAGUGUCCAGGACCUGAACUCAAUGUCUGACUGUUGAGUGAAGAAUCUCAAGUCCCAUCCAUAUGAAAACCUAUCUAACUAGCUUUGAAGGGCAUGCAGGGAGGAGAGAGGUUGACCUACUUCUUGGAUGACCAAGUGAGCCCGAAGCCAAGACACCAACUUGGAAUUUCUUUCAAGAGGAGGGUCUUCUGUGAGCCACAUGUUUCAGAUGCCAACACCCGUGAGCUGGAGCUGAUUGUUGACUGUAUCUCAGCCACUGUCCAUCCUGUUCUGGGUGAUAGUUUGAUUAGGGUCAAGACAAGGAGAUAGGAACAGGAGACAUGGAGAGGAGCCUCCACUAUCAGGAAGAUGAUUCUGAAGAAAAGGAACUUUAGAUGAACCAGCGUUAGAAUUACCGAACCCAAGACUACCGGCCCAGGAAUGGCACCACCCACACCACACCACAUCACCUUGAUCACUAAUUGAAAAAAUGCCUUGCAGCUGGAUCUCAUGGAGGCAUUUCUUCAAUGGAGGCUCCUUCCUCUGUGAUAACUCCAGCUUGUGUCAAGUUGACACACAAAACCAGCCAGUACAGGUGGGCUGACUUGCUCCAAGUUCUUCAAUCAGAAAUAGAGAAACUGGAGCCCCGUAGAUGGGCGUUCUCCAGGAUCAUGUCUGAUUCACAGAUAGAUUCCAGCCUUUGAGCAGACGGGGCUCUCAGUGGUUUGAUUCAUUAGGUAGAGAGAGCUUAACAAACAACAUUCGCUUCACACAGGGUUUGGUAUCUGGAGCUCCAGUGGCCAUUUUGUGACCAUGAGCAGAAGUGAAAGGGACAUUCAAGGAGGUGCUUAAAUUACCCCACCCUGGGACACCUACCAUUUUCCUCCAAUGACAUAAUUAAGUGUUUGUAUCUCUAAGUCAUCUUCUCUACUUUGAAAGAAAGCUCCCAGGCAGAAAGCAUUGCGCCUGGCCCAGAGGCUAAGUGUGAGCAUGGGCUUCUUGUUUAGCCUUUGUGUGUACCCUCUGUACUGUCUGCAGAACCACCCCUCGGGCAGGACUUAUUUCCUAAGGCUCGUAAUGGCUAAUAUUGUCAACUCAAUAAGAUCUGGAAUCACCCAGGAGACAAAUCUCUGGGCCUGCCUGUGAUAGAUUUUCUAGGUUAGGCUAACUGCAUUAUCAUGUCUUUGAGACCCACCCUGAAAGGGGGCAGCACUAUGAAAAUGGGCCGGGGAGCCAGACUCCAUGGAAGAGAGACAGCAAGCUGAGCACCAACAGUCAUUUCUUCCUGCUUCUCAACUGCGGAUGCCAUGUGACCAGCUGCCCGAAGCUCCUGCCACCAUGCCCUGCCCUGCCCUGCCCUCCAGGGUGGCCUAUAUACCCUUGAACUGUGAACCCAACCCCCCUUUUGCCUUUAAGUGGUAUUUUGUCACAUGUUGUCACAGCAAUUCGAAGAGUAUAACUAACACAAGGCUGAACGAUGCAUUUUGCUGAGAGCCUGGCUUGGUCUCCUUUCCUUUUAAACAAACUCAAGCAUUCCA